UACGGGGGGGGCAAGCGUUGUUCGGAAUUACUGGGCGUAAAGGGCUCGUAGGCGGCCAACUAAGUCGGAUGUGAAAUCCCCAGGCUUAACCUGGAACUGCAUCCGAUACUGGAUGGCUUGAAUUCGGGAGAGGGAUGCAGAAUUCCAGGUGUAGCGGCGAAAUGCGUAGAUAUCUGGAGGAAUACCGGUGGCGAAGGCGGCAUCCUGGACCGACAUUGACGCUGAGGAGCGAAAGCUAGGGGAGCAAACGGG
rnacentral:rRNA from 1 species